UCUCGGCCUCCCAAAGUGCUGGGAUUACAGGCGUGAGCCACUGCGCCCGGCUGACUCUCCUUUUAUACCAAGGCUUUACUCAUAGGGGAGAUCGUGGUGUAUCUUUUGGCCCAGAAAUCAGGUGAUGUGUUUCUCCUGCCUGAACUUUGCUCACAGGGAGCAUUGUGACAUAUCACUAGGCCCAGCACCCAGGUGAUGGGACUCUACUGCCUGUCCCCUGCUUUCAGGAGGAAAUUGUAACAUAUCUCUGACCAAGCACCCAGGUCAUAUCUCUGACCCAAGCACUCUUCUGCCUGGUCCCUGUUCUCAGGGAAGAUUGUGACAUAGCCCUGGCCCAGCACCCAGAUGAUGCAGAUGAUGUAAUACUCCUGCUCACUCUCUAUCCACAGGUUCUGCGCACAAAGGAGAUUGUGACAUACUGCUGUGCCUAACACUAAGGUGAUGUGACUUCUCUUCUUUGGCUAUGUCCUUAGAAGGCAUUGAGAUACACUACUGAACCAGCACCAAGAUGCUGUGAGUCCUCUGCCUGAACCCUGACCACAGGGAGCAUUGUGACAUAUUUCUUGACCCAUUGCAAUGGACAAAGCUCAGGUGAUAUAACUCUUCUGCUUGAGCCCUGCCAAAAGAAAAGAUUGCCACAGAUCACUGGACCCAGCACAUAGGUGAUAUGACUCUUUAUUUGCCUGAAACCUUCAUAUUUUAGAUAUAGUGACAUAUCACCAGAACAGAUACCUAAAGGUUAGAUGGCUCCUUCCUGAGCCCUUCCCACAGGGGUCCUUGUGAUGUGUUUCUGUAUCCAUCAUCCAGGAUUUGAAACCCUCUACUUCUGCCAGCAUUUUGCCCACAGGAAAUAUUAUGACAUGUUGCUGGGCCCGGCAACCAGGUGAUCUUACUCUUCUGCCUGUGCCCUGCUUUCAGGAGGGGAUUGUAAAAUUUCUGGGUCAAGCACCCAGUAACAUGACUCUCCUGCCUGGUGCCUGUUCUCAGGGAAGAUUGUGACCUGUUUCCCAGCACACAGCUGAAGUGAAUUUUUUUUUUUUUUUUUUAGAUGGAGUCUCACUCUAUCACUCAGGCUGCAGUGUAGUGGCAUGAUCUCGG